rnacentral:rRNA from 1 species
UGAAGUCGGAAUUGCUAGUAAUCGCGGAUCAGCAUGCCGCGGUGAAUACGUUCCCGGGCCUUGUACACACCGCCCGUCACACCAUGGGAGUCGGUAACACCCGAAGCCUGUAGUCUAACCGCAAGGAGGACGCAGUCGAAGGUGGGAUUGAUGACUGGGGUGAAGUCGUAACAAGGUAUC